GACGAACGCUGGCGGCGUGCCUAAUACAUGCAAGUAGAACGCUGAAGGAGGAGCUUGCUCUUCUGGAUGAGUUGCGAACGGGUGAGUAACGCGUAGGUAACCUGCCUGGUAGCGGGGGAUAACUAUUGGAAACGAUAGCUAAUACCGCAUAACAGUAGAUGUUGCAUGACAUUUACUUAAAAGGUGCAAUUGCAUCACUACCAGAUGGACCUGCGUUGUAUUAGCUAGUUGGUGGGGUAACGGCUCACCAAGGCGACGAUACAUAGCCGACCUGAGAGGGGGAGCGGCCACGCUGGGACUGGGACACGGCCCAGACUCCUACGGGAGGCAGCAGUAGGGAAGCUUCGGCAAUGGACGGAAGGCUGACCGAGCAACGCCGCGUGAGUGAAGAAGGUUUUCGGAUCGUAAAGCUCGGUUGUAAGAGAAGAACGAGUGUGAGAGUGGAAAGUUCACACUGUGACGGUAUCUUAACAGAAAGGGACGGCUAACUACGUG
rnacentral:rRNA from 1 species